rnacentral:lncRNA from 1 species
AUGAGGAGGCAUGGUCCAUGGGACUCUUCGCAGAUGACGUCCCCGUCUGCAAGCAGUGCUGGAAUGAGUAGACUUUUUGCCAGAGUUCCAAGUGGUCAGGAUGGGAAUCACAUUCGCAGAGAAGUGCGAUCCCACAGCAUUGAGGGCACGAGCCGGGAGGAGCGUGAUCUCUGCCAUGAAGCUCGGCAAGAACCGACCUCACAAGGAAGAACCCCGAAGACAAGGUAUCGAGGUGCGACCCUGACCCCAGCAGAGCCCAGGCCCUCCGGCCCUCUCUCUGCGCUUCACAGGGACUAAAGGCCUCCCCUCCGCGGGCAGCGCCCCAACAGGGUCUUCUGCGAUUGCCAGCGGGGCCGCCUGGGCGGGGCCUGGCCUCCCAUUGGCUGGCUGAGGAGCCAGGUUGUGACCGCGGUCCUCCGAAAGAGGGAGCUCCGAGGGCUGAAGGUGGGAACCGCAUUUCCUCUGGUCUAGAACUGGGC